rnacentral:rRNA from 1 species
AUUGAACGCUGGCGGCAUGCCUUACACGUGCAAGUCGAACGGCAGCACGGGUGCUUGCACCUGGUGGCGAGUGGCGAACGGGUGAGUAAUACAUCGGAACAUGUCCUGUAGUGGGGGAUAGCCCGGCGAAAGCCGGAUUAAUACCGCAUACGAUCUACGGAUGAAAGCGGGGGACCUUCGGGCCUCGCGCUAUAGGGUUGGCCGAUAGCUGAUUAGCUAGUUGGUGGGGUAAAGGCCUACCAAGGCGACGAUCAGUAGCUGGUCUGAGAGGACGACCAGCCACACUGGGACUGAGACACGGCCCAGACUCCUACGGGAGGCAGCAGUGGGGAAUUUUGGACAAUGGGCGAAAGCCUGAUCCAGCAAUGCCGCGUGUGUGAAGAAGGCCUUCGGGUUGUAAAGCACUUUUGUCCGGAAAGAAAUCCUUGGCUCUAAUACAGUCGGGGGAUGACGGUACCGGAAGAAUAAGCACCGGCUAACUACGUG